rnacentral:sRNA from 1 species
UGGGCGCCGGUCGGGUGGGCGGAUGGGGCGGUGCCCGCUCGGAGCUGCCGCCGCGGGGUACUCACGUCCCACCUGCGGAAGGUGGGGCUAGCUCUGGAGGAGUUCCUUGGUGGCCUUGAGGACCUCAGACUUAACCCGGCCGCUGGAGCCAUCCCGGCGGACUGGAAGUGCACGGGCUAGGAGAGCAAGAAGGACGUGACAGGCGGGCGAACCUGACGUAAUUAGUGAACGAGGGCUAAAGAAAAAGAAGUCAGUAGGUGGAGAUGGGGCACACCUUUAGUCCCAGAACUCGGGAGGCAGAAAGAUCUCUAUUUAUUAUUAUUUUGUCAACAUGUAUGUCUGCACUACGAAAGAGGACACUGGAUCCCAUGAAGCUGCAGUAAUAGACAGUGGUGUCCCUCCCUGAUGAUUGCAUGCCAAGAUGAUCUGGUCUUCCCAUCCGUUGUUGACCAGGAAACACCCAGGCAGAGGACCCAUAUUGUGUAAAGCAGAGCACCUGCAUCCUGUACCUUCUGUACCUGUGCUUACUGAUUCACGGACAGCAUGUGGCUUCAUUCUGAGUUCAGGUACAGAGACAGGAUGACUCUUCUUGUUAUGCGCGUAGACAUCACCACCUUUCUAGCACCAUCUAUGAGGUAAGCCCUGAUAAAUAGUUUAUUCCUAUACUACCUUAUAAACCUAUCAGAAUAGAUCAGGCCAGGUGAGGACUUGGGUAUAUAUUAAAACCCCCUU